rnacentral:lncRNA from 1 species
UAGGCACCUGACUAUAGAAGGAAGAAUGAAUAUUGCAAUAACAAAAUCCUAAUUAUAAUAGAAUACUAAUAAUGCUCUAAUUAGACCAUAAUAAUAGUAAGCAAGCUUAAUCAAAUUCAAAGAAACCUCAAAGAAAUUUCAAACAAACAAUAAGAAUUCUUAAAGAAAUAUUAGAAGGAUUACAAAUAUCACUCAAAUACAUCUCAAUUCAAUCUUAAUUUAAUUCAAGUUAAAAUCCUAUUGAACUUCAUUCAAACUUUAGGCCAAAACUAAUUUAAUCUUAAAUCCUAAUAAAAUCCUAAGUCCUAAAUCAAACCCUAAACCAAACCCUAGUCCAAACCCUAAACCAAACCCUAACCAAAUCCUAAACCCUAAAUCAAACCCUAAUCCAAAUCCUAAAACCUAAACCAAACCCUAACCAAACC